AUUGAACGCUGGCGGCAUGCCUUACACAUGCAAGUCGAACGGUAACAGGUUAAGCUGACGAGUGGCGAACGGGUGAGUAAUGUAUCGGAACGUGCCCAGUCGUGGGGGAUAACUGCUCGAAAGAGCAGCUAAUACCGCAUACGACCUGAGGGUGAAAGCGGGGGAUCGCAAGACCUCGCGCGAUUGGAGCGGCCGAUAUCAGAUUAGGUAGUUGGUGAGGUAAAGGCCCACCAAGCCGACGAUCUGUAGCUGGUCUGAGAGGACGACCAGCCACACUGGGACUGAGACACGGCCCAGACUCCUACGGGAGGCAGCAGUGGGGAAUUUUGGACAAUGGGCGCAAGCCUGAUCCAGCCAUGCCGCGUGCGGGAAGAAGGCCUUCGGGUUGUAAACCGCUUUUGUCAGGGAAGAAAAGGUUCUGGCUAAUACCUGGGACUCAUGACGGUACCUGAAGAAUAAGCACCGGCUAACUACGUG
rnacentral:rRNA from 1 species